rnacentral:pre_miRNA from 1 species
GGAUUUUCAAAAUCCGUCUCUAAUUUAGGGACGGAUUUUUAGAAUCCGUCUCUAAUUUAGGGACGGAUUUUUAGAAUCCGUCUCUAAUUUAGGGACGGAUUUUUAAAAUCCGUCUCUAAUUUAGGGACGGAUUUUUAAAAUCCGUCUCUAAAUUUAGAGACGGAUUCUAAAAAUCC